GUCUAAUCAGACAGCCCUACCUACUACUCCACUACACCACUACAGUCCAGUCCCCUGCGGGAGAGAGGCAGUGGGGCCCAGGGAUCUUUCAGCAUUUGCUAUGUGGCAGCUGUUACUUUGUUUUCUUCUCUUGGCUUGAAAGGCUGGGAACUCAGAGCCAACGGAACAGCAACAACAACAAUACCGAGUUUCCACAGAGUCCCUGUGGACCCAGCACCUGGCCAGUGCUCAAGAGCGCCCUAGCACCAAUGGUUUCAUCACCCUUUAAAAGAAGUUCUGGACGGGUACCAUCUAAAACUGUGGAUUUCUCAUGGAAAGUCUCAGCGAUGACUUUCGUCCCUUGAUCCACUUGAAGUCCUGUCUCUGAGGGGCACAGAAGCCAACCAGU
rnacentral:lncRNA from 1 species